AUACUCUGUUGCUAACAUGCACUCAAGAGCAUCAAAAUAAUUAAAUCAUGUAGUAUCCAAGAAAGUAAAUAAGUCCUUGUAAUGUUAGCAGCUUACAGGUGGCACGGAGGAACAGAAGGCUGGGGGAUUGAUGUGUUUCCAGACACCACGAAAUGAAGCUCUGGCAGAACUGAGAGGUAAGCCCUGAGUCGCCGGUGUUCUCCCACUUCAGGAAAGCCGAGCACCAUCAGCUAAUGGCCAUGAAUAUUUCAGCUGUGUCAUUAUUAUUUCACAGAGGGAUGGAGAUGGAACCUAAAAAGCGCUCCUGACCCAGGGACAAUAGCAGCAGCUCGAGAGACGCCUGAGAUUUGGCAGGGCCUCUCCUUCCCGGUGCUAAAGGGCCUUUAUCAAGCAUAAAUCACAUCAGCUGCCGCCGCAGCCCUUUCUCAGCUUAUAAAAGAUUCCCCUUUGCUACUUAAGUGACAUGAUGGAAAGGAAUCGCUCCGAAAUGCCCUGAAGACCAGAGCAAGGGACCAGGUUAGGACAAACGGCACUGCUGGCUGUUUAAUAGUAGCACUUUACUGUCACUGUUAGAAAAGUGUUUGCAGCUGGGCUCAUUUUUUAAGCUGGGUGGAUUCUGUGCUGGCUGGAAAUGUCAGGAAGCCACCAGGAAGGUCUGAUACCUGUGAGUUAUGAACGCAGAGCCCCACAAGCUCCGGGAUAAACAUGUUGCCAGUGCUGAUAUCAUUGAAAAGCUCCGAUGCCUCGGGCGCCGAGAAAAUAAAUCAGUGUAGAGCAUCUCUGCAAAGAGCAUCUCUGUUCAGGGAGUAAUUACCAGCCUCCCCUGCUCGGUGAUGUAAGACCAGACUGCCGCGUUUCCUCAGGAAUUAAACAUUCUUCUUCCCCUUGGAAAUAAAAGGGCAGCCUAAGCAUAAGGAACAGAAUUGCCAGCGGAAAAUGCUUUGCUUCACGUAGUGCUGUUGGCAAAUCCUGCCCCUCGUUACCCAGCUGGUGCUUCUGUGCAAGAGGAGGCCCUGAGAUGUGUCAGGGAGCACGGAACGUGGCAGCCACAGCAGCUCUGGGCAGGACGUGGCUGUGUCAGCAGGUUGAGGUCCUCCCAGCACAUCGAGCUGGCCGGGAAUGUCUCAAAGGAACCCCCCAGGCUAUAACUCUCUGUGCGCAUUUUCUGCUUCUCAUACAGAAAAGUAUCAGCAAAAGCUGGCUCAGAUGCCUUGCCCAUCCCUCCUCCACCUGCUCAUGUUAACCUCUGUGGAUAUAUCCAAUUUUACAGCUGUCAGAAGGACAGUUGUCACAGGGAACGUGGUUCUCUCCCAUCAGCAUCCCUGCCAGCCGGCUGCUGUCCACGUUCCAGUGCGUCACAGCUCUCCUGGGCUCAGUGCACCAAGACUAUGCUGCAAUUAGCUCAGUGCAUUUGCUUUACCUGCAGGAACAGGUAAUUCAGUAGCUGGCAUUAAUUCCCAAAUUCAGCAUCCAUGCAGGUGACACUUCUGAUCAUCACCUCCCAGACUCUGUGAAAGCAUAUUAGUGGCUCUCACAGGCAAGCCUGUCACUGGGUAACAAACAGAGUAAUUUUUCAUACUCCCAACACAUCCUGCAGCUCUUGACAAGGAUCCCUGCCACUCUCCCAAGGAUUCCUAUGUAUCUGAGAGCACGAGCUGGUGUCUCCCAGCACAACUCCCGGGCAAAACGAGGCAUCACUGAGACCAUGUCCUGGGCUCUGGCUGUGCCUUCCCUACAGGACUCCUGGGUCAGCUCCCAGUGCUGAUAAACAGGAGGGCUUCUUGUUCUCCUUUCACUGUCUGUUUGUAGAAAGCUGAGUUGACUGCUGAGAUUUCCCAGAUUUAUGUUGUAUUUCUGCAUCCUAUUAAAUUAAUUUUG
ensembl:lncRNA